CCCAGACACACACCACACACACAGACAGACACACGCCACACACACACACCUCACACAGACACACCCACACACAGACACACCAUACACCACACACACACCACACACAUAAACAUCACACACAGACACACACAUACCACACACACCACACAGACACACACCACACAUACACACACACCACACAGACACACGACACAGACACACACCACUCACACACCACACACACACACCACACACACAGACAUAUACACCAGACACACACCACACAGAUACACACACCACACACACACACAACACACACACACCACACAGACAACCACACACACAGACUCAUACACCAUACGCACCACACAUACACCACACACACACCACACACAAAUACCAGACACACACACCACACACACACCACAGACACAUACACCAUACGCACACCACACACACACACCACACACACCACACACACACACCACACACACACACACCAUACACACACACCACACACACCACACACAGACAUAUACACCAUACACACACCAGACACAGACCACGCACAUACCACACACACAGACACCACACACAUGCACCACACGCACCACACCACACACACACACAUACACACACACGAGCAGAGCAAGGGACAGCCAUGUUGUGUGAUCUGGGAGGGUGGCUCAUCCUCUCUGAGUUGUUUAUAAACCGGGCGGGACCCAGGCCUGCCAAUCAAAGGCCUGAUCUGAAUGCUCUUAUUGGUUCAGAGAUGGACAUGUGACCCUCUCUUGGCCAAUCAGAGGCUUUCCUGCUGGAAGGGCUGCUGGAAGCCAUCUUCGCACGGUUCUUCCCUUGGCUUUAGAGCCCCGAAGCGCUCUUUGACUUGAGCUGCUUUGCAUUCUCUCUGUCCUGCCAUCGAGAAAGUUCUGAGCGGCUCAGAAGUAAUACUGACACUAUCAACGGAGGGGGACUGCAGUUUCGCUGGUGGCCCCACAGCCCCCUGCCUCCAGCCAGGGGACAAAGAACAGGAGGGAUCCAGAGCUAUCCCUCCGAGGAAUUCUGCCCCAGACAGCAGAGAGAUGGGGGGCAGGGGACACAUGGCCAUGAGGACAGAGAGCCCUGAGAGGGACUGGGGAAUCGAGACAUCGUUUUCAAAUAAUUGCAGCAAUCAAGAGAGACUGUACAUCCCAUCCCAGACAAAGGGAGACCUAAAAUGAGAGAAUGGAGCUGGGCGCAGUGGUUCACGCCUGUAAUCCCUGCACUUUGGGAGGCCGAGGCAGGCAAAUCACCUGAGGUCAGGAGUUCCAGACCGGCUGGGCAACAUGGUGAAACCCUGUCUCUACUAAAAAUAUGAAAAAAAGUUAGCCAGGCGUCCGCGUGCCUGUAAUUCCAGCUACUCAGGAGACUGAGGCAGGAGAAUCGCUUGAACCUGGGAGGCAGAGGUUGCAGUGAGCCGAGAUCACGCCACUGCACUCCAGCCUGGGCGAUAAGAGUGAAACUCUGUCUCAAAAUAAAUAAAUAAAUAAAUAAAUAAAUAAUCUUAAAAAAAAUAAAAAGAAAACUAGAGAAUGAUGACUUCUGUUUACCAUGUGCCUGGUUUCCUGUCCUGUCUGUGAUCCUGUUGCUGUUUGCUGUCAACUGUUCCUGCUUCAGUGAUAUUAGAAGGGUUCAAGGAGAAUGUGGGUCCCCUCCUUGCCUGCUCUGGGCCUUCCCCUGUUUCUGGCCUGUUUCAUCUCCACCCCCGUUGGAUCUGAGCUCCUUGAGGGUGGCCCCUACACCCUGCAGUGCUGAGCAUUGGGAGGUGUGAGGGUUGCUGAAGGCUGGGGGUUGGUGCUUUUCUUCAUUCAGCAGUCAUCAUUUAUUGAGCACCCACUGUUUGCCAGCUCCUUGGCUAAGCAUUUCAAGCCCUGUUCCAUGGGCUCAGUCUUCCAGGGGCUGGCCGCUAACUACGCAUCGAUUGAUUUCCAGAAGGACAGAAGCACAUAGCAGGGCCUGGUCUCCACUGGGGGUGCCAGGAGCUG
rnacentral:lncRNA from 1 species